GGUGGUACCUCAGUGGUAGAGUGCUUGCCUAGCAUGCGUGAGGAACUGGGUUCGAUCCUCAGAACCA
rnacentral:tRNA from 1 species